UACGAAGGGGGCUAGCGUUGCUCGGAAUCACUGGGCGUAAAGGGUGCGUAGGCGGGUCUUUAAGUCAGGGGUGAAAUCCUGGAGCUCAACUCCAGAACUGCCUUUGAUACUGGAGAUCUUGAGUUCGGGAGAGGUGAGUGGAACUGCGAGUGUAGAGGUGAAAUUCGUAGAUAUUCGCAAGAACACCAGUGGCGAAGGCGGCUUACUGGUCCGGUACUGACGCUGAGGUGCGAAAGCGUGGGGAGCAAACAGG
rnacentral:rRNA from 1 species